UUUCACCAUUCAGUUUAUUUCAUAAUGCCUUUGCUCAAUGUCAUAUACUAAAACCUCAUUCCCCAGUAGGUUGGGAAACACCUGUGUGUGUGUGUGUGUGUGUGUGUGUGUGUGUGUGUGUGUGUGUGUGUGUGUGUGUGUGUGUGUGUGUGUGUGUGUGUGUGUGUGUGUGUGUGUGUGUGUG